rnacentral:rRNA from 1 species
AGAACGAACGCUGGCGGCGUGGAUAAGACAUGCAAGUCGAACGCGACUUAUUUUGUUAGCAAUAACAGAGUAAGUUGAGUGGCGAAAGGGUGCGUAACACGUGGGAAUUUACCAAGAAGUGGGGAAUAGCUCGGCGAAAGCCGAAUUAAUACCGCAUGUGGUCGCAAGACCAAAGCCGGGGACCGCAAGGCCUGGCGCUUUUUGAGAAGCCCGCGGCCCAUCAGCUAGUUGGUGAGGUAAUGGCUCACCAAGGCUAUGACGGGUAGCUGGUCUGAGAGGACGACCAGCCACACUGGAACUGAGACACGGUCCAGACACCUACGGGUGGCAGCAGUCGAGAAUUUUUCACAAUGGACGAAAGUCUGAUGGAGCGACGCCGCGUGGAGGAUGAAGGUUCUUGGAUUGUAAACUCCUGUCACUGCAGAACAAGGGUAGCCGGUUGAUAUUCCGGCUA